rnacentral:rRNA from 1 species
GUGAGGAAUCUUCCACAAUGGGCGAAAGCCUGAUGGAGCAACGCCGCGUGAAGGAUGAAGGUCUUCGGAUUGUAAACUUCUUUUAUGAGUGAAGAAUAUGACGGUAACUCAUGAAUAAGCACCGGCUAACUACGUGCCAGCAGCCGCGGUCAUACGUAGGGUGCAAGCAUUAUCCGGAGUGACUGGGCGUAAAGAGUUGCGUAGGCGGUUAUGUAUGCGAAUAGUGAAACCUGGUGGCUCAACCACACAGACUAUUAUUCGAACUGCAUAACGCGAGAAUGGUAGAGGUAACUAGAAUUUCUUGUGUAGGAGUGAAAUCCGUAGAUAUAAGAAGGAACACCAAUGGCGUAGGCAGGUUACUGGGCCAUUUCUGACGCUAAGGCACGAAAGCGUGGGGAGCGAACCGGAUUAGAUACCCGGGUAGUCC